rnacentral:rRNA from 1 species
UACGUAGGGUGCAAGCGUUGUCCGGAAUUAUUGGGCGUAAAGAGCUUGUAGGCGGUUUGUCGCGUCUGCUGUGAAAUUUCGGGGCUCAACCCCGAACUUGCAGUGGGUACGGGCAGACUAGAGUGUGGUAGGGGAGACUGGAAUUCCUGGUGUAGCGGUGAAAUGCGCAGAUAUCAGGAGGAACACCGGUGGCGAAGGCGGCUACCUGGCCCAUUCUUGACGCUGAGGCGCGAAAGCUAGGGGAGCAAACGGG